CUCCGGCCCCCGGCUCCCGCCGGGCUCCGGCUCCCUCCGGCUGCAGCUGCCCGUCCGGCUCAGCGCACCCCGCCUGCGGUCCCGCCGGCCCUCCCCGUCGCGUUGGUGGCGGCGGCGACCGGAACAGGCCCGUCCGCAGCCUCCGAGGUUCCCUGCCCUACAGCGCUGGAGGGAGUUCAGAUGAAGUGAGGAAAAUCCAGGUGUCCCUGUGUCUAGGCUGAGGCAAAUGGAACUGGGGGAGGCAAAUGGAACUGGCCAGCUCCUUUGUUCCUGGAGAAGAAUCCUAAAGAGGCAUGCCCCUCCAACAUGUACUCUGAGGUGUUGUGUUGGGUUCAUGGAUGCAGAAGAUAUACUACCAAAAGAAAAGAAAAGCAUGAUCCCUCCUUCAGACAUGUGAAAAAGUAAGUACGAUAUACUGGUUAUGGUGAUAUUAUGGGAUGCUAUAUGAAUGUUGAGAAAGGCCACUUAAAUCCCAAUGUUGGCAGUCAGAUAGGCCUUCUGGAAGGUUGAUGUCCCAGUUGAGAAUUGAGGGGUAGCAGGUGAUAAUCAUACACGUGGUAGUAAGACAGAGGUUGGGGUAAGCAGAAUAGGAGAUAGAAAUCUAGACAAAGAACAGGUUGGGUUAUACAGGGAAAUGUGUCGCAACUGUAGAAGAGCAAAUAGCUUACUUUGGCAGAAACAUAGAUAAGCUUGUCUGUCAGUUGAGAAAUGGAAUGGAAGGGAUAAAGAGGCAAAGACGAGACC